rnacentral:lncRNA from 1 species
UACAUAUUGAAGGAAAUUCUGACUGAAUACUGAUUAGUCAAUUCCAGCAUUCUAUUGAUUACUACAAAUUAUGUGAGCAUCCCAAUCACGAACUAACCAGAUUUUUCAUCCCCGCCGAAACCCGAUUGCAGAUAACCUGUUGGGUUGAGGUGACUAACAUCACCCCAGGAUUUUAUGGUCCAUUUGCCGUCAUCAUACACGUGAAUUAUGUUGACGGAUGUAUUGAGUACUUUUUCAACAGACCUGCCAUCCGGGGAAGCCUGUUUGUAGAGUGUUCUGAUAAACCCUCCAUGACUGACCAGAACUACUCGCUCUCCUGCAAUUGACACCAGCCAGGAUAUAAACAUUCAGAUUGCAACUUUGUGUCACCCUUACUCUACAUUUUCAUUUUUUGUCGUGGCCGAGUUAAACUUUAAGAGGCAAGCAAGGUCUUAAUAACAUUGGAAUAGUUUCUACAGGCAUAGCAUCAACAACAGCAAAUGAACUAAAAGUGCUCAUUGGGAGUUCAAACCAUUCUAUGACAUGUGUUACAUGUGACAAGGAAAUAGUUGAGCUGCAGUUUACCUAAGUACACCUCAAAAUGGAAAGGGUAUGGGAUCAUUCUGUUCGCAAACUAACUAAAACUUGAAUGAAGAAAGAUUUAGCAAAUUCCAUAGCAGUAAAGAUACAAAAGAGAUAUCCCUAACCAUACCUUUGUGCUUAUUGCCAAUUCUCUGCACUGAAGAUGUGCAACGUUGAUGAAGUUGAUCACGACUUUCUCCACCACCCUGCAUGUGUAGAACAGUGGAAUACACAUAAAUUUGUAUUGCAAUCUCCAAAGCUAAAAUUCAUUCCCCAAAAGAAUUUAGGGCAUCCAUUAUUGUAAUUACAUAUUGGUAGAUUUUCACCCUUUCUGACCACGAUAUGACAUGCCAUGUGACACUAGUCCUCCUUACCACGAAUAAAACAGCACAGUCCAUAAGGAAUAGGUCAUCAACCAGACAUUUAUCACAUGAUUAGACAACAUAGAUCAAUAUUAGUACUACUACUAUAGUAUCAUCCAAGCUUUUAUGACAAUCUCAAAUCUUAUAUGUUCUGAGUCCUCACUCCCCAAGGCUUAGAGGCUGGAGAAUCAACCUUAGUCAGGUGCAAAGACAGGCAGUUCUAAAAAUUACAGAAAGACAGUCCAAAAUGUAUACUACCUCCAGCUCUAAUAGGCUAGCUGUCAUGGGCAGGAAAUUCCAUAAUAUUUCUCCAUGGAGUGCUUUUCUGAUGAGGCUGCUAAACUUAGUUACAAAAUUCAAACUACUAACUUUGAUAAAGCCUCAGGCCCAAAAUACAAAAAGAUUGCUUACUGGAAUCUCUUGGCAUGUCUCACGAGAUACAAAGGCCCGGUGAGCCUUAGGAUUAAGUUUGGCAGUGUCGCGAAAUACAAGGCCUUGAAGAUCCCCUAAAUGCCUUUCUCGUAAAUCAACAUCUGUUACAACCUGAAAUUUAACCCAAGACUUUUAUUUACAUACAAUGAAUAGAAACAUUCUCCCUUUUCCAAAUUAUGCAUUGGCUUCAUGUUAAAAAAAAUUCUUUUAUCCAAUUCCCAUUGUCAGUAACAUUCAUACAGAUGAGUUGAUUACCAAGACAUUGACUCCAAGUUUUUACUUAACUUAUUACCAAAAGACAGUAAUGUAUGCAUACCAUGCAGCUUUCAUUUUCAUGUCUGUCUGUUAUAUGGUUUAGAGCAUCAAAGCACUUGCUGUAAUAUAUACAUUAUUCAUUACUUCAAUGAAAACUGGUACUAUCAAUUAUGCAAUCAGCUUUACUACAUGCAACAAGGAGCAACUUGAACAAAGUUACCUACCUUUAUCCCGCCACACCUGGCUGCAAUUAUCUGUGCAGUUUCAUAAGCUCGUGCUAAGUCAGAAGAAUAUACAACGGAGAUCUUGGGCUCCUUGGAUAACCUAUCACCCACCUUCGAGAGUAAAAGCCAAAUUUUCAGACAUUAUUGACCAAAGGAUAAGACUCAAAACCUUCAUGUGUCCCUCAAACAGCAAGUAUAUAUAAAAUUUGUAACUUACUACAGCUGCUUGCUGCCUCCCGGCAUCAUUUAACUCAACAUCCAGAUGCCCCUGUCCAAAAUAAAUGCAUUGACUCAAUUUUCAAAUUUAGUUGUUUCAAAAAACAAGGAUAAAUUGCACUGAUGAUCCAGGAACUUUACUCAUGCCUCAUCCUGGGCAUAAAGCAGCCGAAAUGAAAGCAUACCAAGAACCUAGCCUUUGUUAAGGGGCGCUUUUGUAGUGUAUAGGAACCACGAAAAAAGAAAGAAGAAAGAAGGAGUGCUUAAGAUGGCUGGAAACUUUUUCAGGGGAAUUUUUUUGACUGCUAUGGCAACCAAGCUUGGUGGCUCCUGUGGCAGCCACCCCCAAACUAGGCAUUGCACCAAUGGUUGCAUUGUUUUUGUCUUUUGAACAAGAAAAAGGCAGUGUCUGCCAUGGGCACCAAAAACAUAUUAACUCUUGAUAUAAUGACGUGGUCAUGUAGUAGUGGCAAAUGUUGAUUGGGGGUAAAGAACAACAUUAUGUUCCCACAAAAAAAAUUCUGAUAAAAUAUGCAGAGUGUAUACAUGGAAUUAGUUGCAGUCUUACAAACCAUUUUUUUUUAAUGAUUACUUGCAUUUGCAUAACAUGUUCGAUAUAAUCACAGAGUAAAUAAGCUGUGAAAUAUAGACUUCGAACAUAACAUUUGAGAUUGUGAUAUCAGCUAACUUCAAAAGUUUGGCAUCUCUACUCAUCAAACAACUAACAAAAACCAGGUUCGCAAGGACGGGUAAUCGCAUAAAAGGCAUAACACUAGGAAACUUACCAAAAUAUGCCUAAAUUUAAACAAAAAGAUCAAACUUUUUAAAGGUUGAAGUGAGAAAAAGGACCUGGAUUCUUCCAUCAGCGUUCCAGGCCGUUUCACCGUGACGCAGUACUAUGAUCUCUGCGUAAUCCGAGCCAACACAGCUGCAUUGAAUUCACCAGAAAAAAUUUAAAAAGUUAAAUAAAAAGCUUCUUCACAUUUUUUCUUUUCUUUUCAAUUUAUUACUUUCCAGCAAUCUUGGGAUUCGAUAAUUGAUAUACAAACCCUAAUCGAGGAACUAUGCGAUUGGAACGAAACGAAGGAUUUAGGUGCAAGGAGAAUGAUAGUGAGAUCGGACCUGGAAUCGGACUCCGACUCGGGCACUGAUGACGUUGCCAUGGAUGACUCGGCCGCAAUGCGUCAACGUCAAGCUGUGCGCUCUGUGACGCCUGAGGAGGUUUAGUGAGAGGCAGAGAACUUGUGGCGCUGAGCAUUUCAAUAAUUUUCAGGAUCCAAAAUAGAAGAAUCCGACAAAUUUCUUCGGCACAACAAUAAUGGAAUCUAAAUUCUCGGUCAAAAUAGUGGAACCUGAUUCUCUCUGUCUGCAGUAGGCCAACAGUUUACUUUCCCACCAAUAAAUGCCCGCCGCCCAAAAUACUUUGGGGAAUUUUAUCUUUGUGGGCAAAAAGCCCAAAAUAUCAUAAUGAUGGACAUCUCAAAAAAUUUCGUGCUUAAAAUGGAUUUAUAGCUUAAGUGGACACAAUAAUUUAUCAUCCAUUUGAGGUUCUGUAUUUGAUUCCUUACUCACACAAUAUUGCUUGUAUUAACAAAGAAUAAAAUUCCUAAGCUUAAAACUGAUGGGACUGCACUGCAAUGAUGACAUGUUUACUAAUACGUAAUUAAAUGAGGAGUUGAAUUGAGGAGUCAGAAUCCAUAUUCCCAUUGAACUUGUUUACUAAACUAUCUAGAAUCGGAGUAGGAAUAAUAUUGAUUCCUUAUAAGUUUACUAAAAUAAAUUACCAUGAAUCGAAAUUGAAACCAAUUUGAUUACUAAAAUGCACUUCUUGUUGGAUUAUUCUUAAUAGGUUAGUUCCCUAGGAAUUAGAAUACCCUCCCACCCAAUACUCCAAUUCCUCCAAAAUCUAGAAUUCAGCUCUUGAUUUCGGAUGGCCUCACUUGCAUUUUCAUUCCUGAAUCCUUAAUGAGAUAAUGAAACAAAUUUCGGCAUCAGCCGAUCUAGGCCAUACAUAUUGAAUGAAAUUCUGAAUGAAUAGUGAUUAGUCAAUUCCGUCAUUCUAUGGAUUACUACAGAUUACGAGAGCAUCCUAAGAACGAGCUAACCAGAUUUUUCGUCCCUGCCGAAAUCUGAUUGCAGAGAACCUGUUUGGUUGAGGUGACUAACAUCACCCCAGGAUUUUACGGUCCAUUUGCCGUCAUCAUACACGUGAAAUAUGUUGACGGAUGCAUUGAGUACAUAUCUGACAGACCUGCCAUCCGGGGAAGCCUGUUUGUCGAGUGUUUCAAUAACCGCUCCAUG